rnacentral:misc_RNA from 1 species
UCGUAACAAGGUUUCCGUAGGUGAACCUGCGGAAGGAUCAUUACAGUAUUCUUUUUGCCAGCGCUUAAUUGCGCGGCGAAAAAACCUUACACACAGUGUUUUUUGUUAUUACAAGAACUUUUGCUUUGGUCUGGACUAGAAAUAGUUUGGGCCAGAGGUUUACUGAACUAAACUUCAAUAUUUAUAUUGAAUUGUUAUUUAUUUAAUUGUCAAUUUGUUGAUUAAAUUCAAAAAAUCUUCAAAACUUUCAACAACGGAUCUCUUGGUUCUCGCAUCGAUGAAGAACGCAGCGAAAUGCGAUAAGUAAUAUGAAUUGCAGAUUUUCGUGAAUCAUCGAAUCUUUGAACGCACAUUGCGCCCUCUGGUAUUCCAGAGGGCAUGCCUGUUUGAGCGUCAUUUCUCUCUCAAACCUUCGGGUUUGGUAUUGAGUGAUACUCUUAGUUGAACUAGGCGUUUGCUUGAAAUGUAUUGGCAUGAGUGGUACUGGAUAGUGCUAUAUGACUUUCAAUGUAUUAGGUUUAUCCAACUCGUUGAAUAGUUUAAUGGUAUAUUUCUCGGUAUUCUAGGCUCGGCCUUACAAUAUAACAAACAAGUUUGACCUCAAAUCAGGUAGGAUUACCCGCUGAACCUAAGCAUAUCU